AACAAGGAACCAGCGGGGAAAGGGGCGGCAGGGAGGUAUCCUGCCGCCCGCUUUGUAAAGUAAAUACGGGGCCAGAGUGGGGAAAGCGCGGGAGGGGUAAGUAAACCCUCCCCCUCCCUUAAUGGAACCCCCCAUUCCAUGCACACCCCUAAUUGUGAUGAGUUGGAAGGCAACCACUGCAACAAGUGGAAGCCAAGCUCUAGAGAGGAAGUUGCCGUUCGCAGCUCCCACCCGCCACAGCUGUCACCCUCCAACUCAACCAGCUCUGCAAUGCCAAAUAGACUACGCCGCAGGGUCCAGCCCAGUUUGAAGGCAGCCCCUGUGACACAUGGGAGUUGUGCUGGCAGGUGGGAAAUCUCCACACCGCCACCACUGGUGGAGCUCUUGCCCACCAACUCAGCCAGCACCGUGGUGCACUCUGGUUUACUAGGCAGAGCAUGCCAUGGGAUCACUUGGAGGGCACCUGUUGCAACAAGUGAGAGCCAAACUCCAAGCCGGUGGUGGUUGCAAAUAUCCACAGCACUGCCAUGGGCGAAGCACAGCUCCUGCCCACAGCUGCCCUCCAACUCAGCCAGCCCCAUGGCACACUGGUUUGAUGAGCAUGGCACACUGCAGGGCCCGGCCAAGUUGGAGAGCAAUUGUGACAGGCAGGAGUCAUGGCUAGUGGCAGUAGGAAAUAUCCACACUGCUGCCACUGACAGAGCACACAGUGGUGCACUCUGGUUUGCUAAGCAUCAGUGUGUGCUGUGAGGCCCAGCUGAGUUGGAGAUUAACCACUGUGACACGUGGGAGCAACACUCUGAACCAGCAGCAGUGAUUUCCCACCUGUCAUCUCAGAGCACAACUUCUGACUGUUGCAGUGGCUGCCCUCCACCUCCCAUCAUAGUAGCUGCCUUCUAACUUAGCCGGCCCUGCAGCACAGAGUUAUCUUUUUAACAGCCGGAGUGUACUGUAGCACUUGGCCAAGUUGGAGGGCAGCCCCUGCGACUGGCAGCAGCGGGAAAUCUCCAUGCCCCCACCAUUAGCAAAGCACAGCUUCUGCCCACAACCACCCCAACCAGCCCCAUAGUACACCAUGCCCCCACCAUUAGCAAAGCACAGUUUCAGCCCUCAACCAUCCCAAUCAGCCCCAUAGUACACUCUGGUUUGCCAGCCAAGUUGGAAGGCAAACAUUACUUCAAAUAGGGAGCCAAUGGUAGCUGGUGGUUAGCAGCAGGUGGGGUGCUAGGCAGGGCAGGUGAUGGGUGGAGGCACAGUGAGAGGACGAGCCAAUUGUGGGCAGCUGCAGAAAUGGAGCCAGGACUAGCUGUAGGGACACAUACGGAUGUCCGAAUGGCGUGGUGUGUGAUGAUGACAUCCACUCAAAUUCAAGAUGGCGACCAUGUGAACGUCUGAGGCACAAAUUAUUCAGAACCAUGAAGGAGGAAAAAUUGCACUAAGAGGAAAAGAUUGCACUAAGUAGUGGUACGCAGGCAACAUUAAGUGUUCUCUAUUUUCAGUUGCAUCUUCUUCUUGGCGUUUUUCUGUUGGCCGUCCUUCGUGCCUUAAAGGGUUUUCUCCCUAUGAUCUGGGGGUGCCCUGUGAUGGUCCAGGCAGACAACGCUACAGCCAAAGCUUAUAUAAAUCAGCAAGGGGGCAUGGGCGCCAGAGCUCUCCUGUGCCUUUCCAUCGACCUGUGGCUUUGGUGCAUCAGGCAUGCAGUAACACCUCAUGUGAUCCAUAUUCAAGGAGAAGAGAAUGUGCAAGCAGAUGGCUUACACCAAAUGAGAUCACUCUCUCAUGAAUGGAUAUUAGACCCAGACAUACUUCAAGGGAUAUUUGCAGUUUGGGGCACUCAGACUCUGGAUACCUUUGCAUAAGAGGACAAUGCUCAGUGUGCCCUCUACAGGGACUGGGUUCCCUAGGAGACGCAUUCUCCCUUUCCUGGAAACACAUUUGCAUCUAUCUGUUUCCACCAGUUCAAUUCAUACUGAGAGUGCUUCAGAAGUUGAGAGCAGAAAACGUUCAGGCCCUUAUUCUCCAUGGUGGCCCAGGAAACCCUGGUUUCUGGUUCUCAUGCGCCUGGCGGAGGCACACAUCUGGCUUCCUUACCAGCCUCAUCUCCUGUCCCAGCAGGAUGGUUGGUUGUUGCACCCUGAAAUUCGGUCCCUGGACCUCACUGCAUGGAAGAUUUCUUUCUUUUAAAAAAAAUGCUUUUAUUAGUAUAAUAAGUGGAAGCAGAAAGGUUACAUCUCUGAGAGUCCAACAAAACCAAACAACAUACAGAGUCUUAUUCAUCAAAACCAAGGCAGAAGAAAAAUACAAUAGUAUUGAAAGAAAGUCCUUAACUAGGGAUCAGUAGCUAUCUAUAAAAGAGUCUUGAACCCUAACCCUAAAGGUGGGGGAGGGAGAAAAAAACCAGCCCAGACCUGGUUGAUCAUCCUACUGUCAGGUAAUCUAAGGAAGAGGGAACCAGCCCAUGACGUACAAAAUAGUACCAGUAAUGACGUACAAAAUAGUACCAGUAAUUCCAGUAAUUCGAGCACAGAGCCAGAUGUCCCCAAUACUCUGUGGCAUGAGCUCCACCUAUAUGUGUUUUUUAAAAUGAACCUCAGAUAUGUGUCUCAAAUAUGUCCUGGUAUGUAGUUUUAAAUGUGCUUCAAUGCCAAUUAUAUUGUUAUAAUUUCAAUACAAUAAGGAAAGAACUGUCAGGCCAAACAUAAAUUGGUUAUGCAUUUCUCUGCGCUCAAAUCACACCCUAAAUCUCACCAAUCCCUUCAUACUGACUCUCUCCUCCAAAGACAAUUCAGCUACCUACUGAAGAAUCCAUGGGAAAUUAAAAAAACAGCCGAACAGAAAAAACUUAUCUAUGGGCUCAUCUAUAAAUCUACUCGUCAGAAAGAAUAGGAUUUAAAACUCUCACGGAACACUCCGUCUGGAUUCAAUUAAUUAUUAGACAACUGUGUAUGCAAAAUGAUUUCCAACAGGAAUAUUCAAUGGAGAAGAGAAUAAUACCUGAAAAUACGAAUUCUGCCAUGGCAAAAGUAGAAUGCAUGUUGUAAAUACAAGGCCACAUGUCCACCAACGUACAAAUAUCCCAUCUCAUUACAGACUGGUAUUCAAAAAACCAUAGUAAAAUAAUUAACGAAGAUCAGCCCAAACCUCUAUUAGUCCCCCUCCUCAUGUAAUAAAAGACAAACAUACAAGCCGGAGAGAUAAAUGGAGGGAGACUAAAUUCAGUCCUGACUAAUCUUUAUAACCUACAGCUAGUAGCAUAAACUGUCAAACUUUAGCAGUGAGAUAACCCCUCUUAUACAGAUGUCUAAUCUUUCACAGUUUACUUCCAAUUGUUUGCAUCCAGCUAAACUUCUCAAACUGUUAUUAUAAAGUAUUUAUAACGGGUAACAAAAGCCCAUAAUGCGGGGGAAAGAGAAUAAUAAACUAGAGCUAAGAAAAGAGAGACAGCGUAAUCUUCAAUUGUUUGUCAUUCAUAUCCUUUCAGAACAUAUAAUGUCAUAUUAUAGGGUAUAGCCGGUAGUCUUGUGCCAUAUGUUUAAAAAUAUUUGCUCUGUUGUGUCAAUUUGCUUCUUAGAAUUAAGUUUACAAAAAUAUUCCUAGUUCUUCUCUGAAUCCUCAAUUCCCAAUGCAUUCUCAUUUCUUCCUUAGAGAGCAAGAAAACAAACAAAAAAAGAACCAAAAGCAGAUAUAUGUGACAUUUCCUUGGGUCUUUGAAACCAUCGGGUUCAUAAUGCCACUAAGUUCCUGAUUAGAUUGAUACCCAUAUUAAAUCUUAUUUAGAACUCCCUAAAUAUUGAUGGUUGAAAUAAGAAAGACAGGUAACACAGGGAAUACCUUGAAAGACUAAGUAAUAAGGUUUAAUAUUAAGCUAUACUCAAAAUUACCAUCCUAAAGUAAUACCCUAAAUAUUCACAUAUAUUUCAUUUUCUUUUCUAAUGGUAUGUAUUAAUUCUUUCAGUUAAGAUUUUGAACAUUGGGGUUAUUUCAGUAUUGUACCCUAUGUGGAACUCCCUAAAUAAUAUUUGAUGAAGAAAACAUUAAACACAGGGAGUACACUGAAAGGCCAAUUAAAGAGGUAUAAUAUGUACUUAUACACAAAGUUAGAAGCUUUAAAUAGAUGGGGGGGGGGGGAAAACCAGAAUUAAAAUCUUAAGGCUUUGAGAAUUUUCCCACGCACACCACAAAGGGUUAAUUUGAAAUCUUAGAAACAAUGUCUAAGGACAUUCUCUCAUAGAGAAGAGACUAAGCAAUGCCGGAACUAACUUCUGAGGCUAAAACAAAUGGUUAUCAGGUUUUUUCUAAGAGAAAUCGCUCCAGUUGAAAUCAUUCCGCAUAAAACCUCACCGUAGUUGUAGUCCCCAAAGCCAAAUAGUUCUAUUAAUACACCCCAAAAAGGUAAACAACUGAGGCAAGUAAACUUUCAAAUAAAGUUAAAACUUUCAGGUCCGUUCUGGUAGAAUCUUCUGAAUUUAUCUCAUAGUAAAACACAUCUUAACAGUCUCUCCCAAUACCAGUUAGCCCAGCCUGUUUUUAACGAGAUCAACAUUCAGUAAAAGUGAAAGUAAUGAGGAAUGAGAGUAAUGAGGAAUAAUAAAUGUUCACCGCUCCAGCUCAACCAAGUAAUAUAUAUGGGAAUUCUUCAAGAUAAAGUCAGAGUCUUGGCAUGAAAGAAGCAAACUCUUUUUCCAACACUUUCAUUUCCCCCAUCAGAGCUUAGAUAACUAGUGGCAAAAAGGUGAUUGUUCAGCCAUAAAACACUUUGUCAGCCGUGCAAACAGAAGGAAUUGUAAAUGAAACUGUUAGUUCAAAGCAAAGUCUUCUAGAGUCGAGCCUCCCAGCAAGCAGGUAAGCAGAAUUUUUCCAUGCAGGGCUUUGUAAGACAUACGUAUCCCAGUUAUAUAUGUGGCCUUUAAAACAAUAAAAUAAAAACACGGAAUCAAAAGAGAAAAAGCAUACUUCUCUCCAAGUCUAUCUUCUCCAUUCCUCUUCUCCAUAGUAAGUUCCUGUCUGCCGGGAAGUUCAAGGCAAGCGGGGGGAGGGGGUUCACAAAGAGUUUUAAGUGGGGGGGGACACCCAAGAACAACAACAAAAAAGCCCGUAAUGAUCUCUGAUGAAAGCUAUAAAUGGUUUAGAGUUCAAGAUUAAAGUAAGAAAUAAGUAAUUGCUGGGAUAUCAGACUUUUUUUUUAAAAAAAGGCUCUUCAAGACAAAACUGAAAGCUGUUAGCAUUGCAAUGCUGUGAUCUCCAGCAAAGUAAAGAUAGCAUAAAACUGGCAAGAGCUUUCAAUAAAAAGAAAGAAAGAAAGAAAGAAUAGAUCUGCCAAACUCAUGGCCGUGAACACCUCAGAGAUUUAUUAGGUAAGAUAAAGAGAAUAGAGCAGGUCAUCUGUACUUUGGCGGUGGAAUGCCUCUCUUCGUCCAGUUUGAUGAUUGUAGAAAGGUCUCUCCAGAUGUUCAUCUGGGAUUUUCCAGACUUUUCAGGAUCUGAAGAGCCCCCAGACUUCCACUUCUGGGAAGAGAACCGAGCCCUGCACACAUACCGACCUCCAUCUGACCGAUGGGAGGUGAUAGGACCAAACGAUUGUUGAAAACCCUGACAGCUGGUUUAGUCAUCUUGCUUUCCGAGAAUGGGAAUCACUGCAUGGAAGAUUUCACAGACUUCCCCACAGAAUUUACGAAGGUCUUGAUUGUGGCUUGAAAAGUCAUAUGGCCAUAAGUGGACUCGUUUUGUGACUUUUGCUACUAAACAAAACUUUGACUUGUCUGACUUGACUGUUCAAAAUAUUUGUACUUCUCUAUCACAUUUAAAAAUGUCUGGCCUAAAGUUGUCCUCCCUUUGGGUGCAUUUAGUGGCCAUUGUGGAGUUCUGCCCUGGUCCUGGGGGUUCUUGGUUUAAACAUCCCUUGGUUAAACGUUUUUUGAAGGGGUUGUCCCAUUCUCUGCCAGAUGAUCCUGUUAUGGCCCCAGCAUGGGAUUUGGCAGUGGUGUUGGCCAGCCUUUUGUGCCCGCCCUUUGAACCCAUGGCUUAAAUCAAGCCAUGUGGAAGGUGGCCAUUACUUUGGCCAGAAGAGUGAGUGAGCUCAGGGAGCUCAGGUCUGAUUGGCCAUAUAUUCAAUUUCACCAGGAUAAGGUAGUGCUCAGGCCUGAUGUUCAAUUUCUCCCUAAGGUUGUCUCCACCUUUCAUUGUUCCCAACUUAUUAACUUGUCUGUAAGGACUUGUCCUUCCCGGUGGAAUUCAAGUUGCAUUGUUUAGAUGUCCGGAGGGCAAUCGCUUCCUAUGUUCAAAGGUCAGCACAAUGGAGAAAGGCCUCUUCUCUAUUUGUUUCUUAUGAGGGCUCUUGUAAAGGUCUGCAGGUCCUCACAGUCAUUAUCCAGAUGGAUUGUUUCAGGUAUUGAGCUUUGUUAUAAAUUGGCAAAAAAACAAUUACCGGAGGUAAUAAAAGCUCACUCCUCAAGGUCUGUGAUGGCCUCGGUUGCCUUUGACUGUUCAGUUCCGUUAAAGACUAUUUGUCAGGCUGUUACAUGGGCUUCACCUCAUUCCUUUAUGUGGCACUAUGCAAUUGAUGCCAGAUCUCGUAAUGAUGCUAAAUUUGGCAGAGCUGUACUGCAGGCUAUUUUCUCUUAAUUGCUCUAAUUAUUUGAAUAAAAGAACUUUGUUUACUUCCA